rnacentral:lncRNA from 1 species
CUUUGCCAAUGAUAACCGUAUUGCACUUGCAGCUCUUAAAUCCAAAUCAUCCCAUUCUUCAUCUCUCUUGCUUGAUGAAUCAUCGCUAGAACCUGCUUCUGGUUUUCCCUUCAGGGCCUUGUGUAGACCUGAUUGAAGUAUUGCACUUGCAGCUCUUAAAUCCAAAUCAUCCCAUUCUUCAUCUCUCUUGCUUGAUGAAUCAUCGCUAGAACCUGCUUC